rnacentral:rRNA from 1 species
UACGUAGGUGGCAAGCGUUGUCCGGAUUUAUUGGGCGUAAAGAGCUCGUAGGCGGUCUGUUGCGUCGGCUGUGAAACCCGGGCUCAACUCCGGGCCUGCAGCCGAUACGGGCAGACUAGAGUUCGGCAGGGGAGACUGGAAUUCCUGGUGUAGCGGUGAAAUGCGCAGAUAUCAGGAGGAACACCAGUGGCGAAGGCGGCGAUCUGGGAAGAUACUGACGCUGAGGUGCGAAAGCGUGGGGAGCAAACAGG